GACGAACGCUGGCGGCGUGCUUAACACAUGCAAGUCGAACGGGUCUGCCUUGUUUUUUGCGGGGUGGGUCAGUGGCGAACGGGUGAGUAACACGUGAGUAACCUGCCCCUCACUUCUGGAUAACCGCUUGAAAGGGUGGCUAAUACGGGGUGUUCUGGCUGUGCCGCAUGGUGUGGCUGGGAAAGAUUCACUUUUGUGGUGUUUUGGUGGGGGAUGGGCUCGCGGCCUAUCAGCUUGUUGGUGGGGUGAUGGCCUGCCAAGGCUUUGACGGGUAGCCGGCCUGAGAGGGUGGGCGGUCACACUGGGACUGAGAUACGGCCCAGACUCCUGCGGGAGGCAGCAGUGGGGGGUAUUGCACAAUGGGCGGAAGCCUGAUGCAGCGACGUCGCGUGAGGGAUGGAGGCCUUCGGGUUGUGAACCUCUUUCGCCGGUGAAGAAGGUCCUGUUCUUUGUGGUGGGGCUGACGUAGCCGG
rnacentral:rRNA from 1 species